AACCCCUCGUUGGAUAUCCAAUGGACCAUCAAUGAAUCCUCGUUGAAUACACUAGAGAGGAUAAUAGCCACCACGUGAGGGUAAAGGCUACAGCCGUAACUAUAACGGUCCUAAGGUAGCAAAAUUCCUUGUCGAGUAAGUUCCAACCUGCAUGAAAGGCAUAACGAUUUGGGCACUAUCUCAGAGAGAGGCUCAGUGAAAUAGACAUGUCUGCUAGGGUU
rnacentral:rRNA from 1 species